AAGACCUUGCACUUUUGGAGCGGCCGAUGUCUGAUUAGCUAGUUGGUGGGGUAAUGGCCUACCAAAGCUUCGAUCAGUAGCUGGUCUGGGAGGACGGCCAGCCACACUGGGACUGAGACACGGCCCAGACUCCUACGGGAGGCAGCAGUGGGGAAUUUUGGACAAUGGGCGCAAGCCUGAUCCAGCCAUGCCGCGUGAGUGAAGAAGGCCUUCGGGUUGUAAAGCUCUUUCAGCCGGGAAGAAAAGGUUGCGACUAAUAAUCGCAAUUCAUGACGGUACCGAAAGAAGAAGCACCGGCUAACUACGUGCCAGCAGCCGCGGUAAUACGUAGGGUGCGAGCGUUAAUCGGAAUUACUGGGCGUAGAGGGUGCGCAGGCGGUUUUGUAAGUCAGAUGUGAAAUCCCCGGGCUUAACCUGGGAACU
rnacentral:rRNA from 1 species